rnacentral:rRNA from 1 species
UACAGAGGGUGCGAGCGUUAAUCGGAGUUACUGGGCGUAAAGGGCGCGUAGGCGGUGAUAUGAGUGUGGUGUGAAAGCCCCGGGCUUAACCUGGGAAGCGCAUCGCAAACGAUAUAACUAGAGUAGAUGAGAGGGUGGCGGAAUUUCCGGUGUAGCGGUGAAAUGCGUAGAGAUCGGAAGGAACGUCAAUGGCGAAGGCAGCCACCUGGCAUCAUACUGACGCUGAGGCGCGAAGGCGUGGGGAGCGAACGGG